GGGGAUUUAGCUCAGUGGUAGAGCGCUUGCCUAGCAAGUACAGGCCCUGGGUUCAGUCCUCA
rnacentral:tRNA from 1 species